AGCGUAGACGGUGUGGCAAGUCUGAUGUGAAAGGCAUGGGCUCAACCUGUGGACUGCAUUGGAAACUGUCAUACUUGAGUGCCGGAGGGGUAAGCGGAAUUCCUAGUGUAGCGGUGAAAUGCGUAGAUAUUAGGAGGAACACCAGUGGCGAAGGCGGCUUACUGGACGGUAACUGACGUUGAGGCUCGAAAGCGUGGGAGCAAACAG
rnacentral:rRNA from 1 species